rnacentral:rRNA from 1 species
GAUGAACGCUAGCGGGAGGCCUAACACAUGCAAGCCGAGCGGUAUUGUUUCUUCGGAAAUGGGAGAGCGGCGUACGGGUGCGUAACACGUGUGCAACCUGCCUUUAUCUGGGGGAUAGCCUUUCGAAAGGAAGAUUAAUACUCCAUAAUAUAUUGAACGGCAUCGUUUAAUAUUGAAAGCUCCGGCGGAUAGAGAUGGGCACGCGCAAGAUUAGCUAGUUGGUGAGGUAACGGCUCACCAAGGCGAUGAUCUUUAGGGGGCCUGAGAGGGUGAUCCCCCACACUGGUACUGAGACACGGACCAGACUCCUACGGGAGGCAGCAGUGAGGAAUAUUGGUCAAUGGGUGCAAGCCUGAACCAGCCAUCCCGCGUGAAGGACGACUGCCCUAUGGGUUGUAAACUUCUUUUGUAUAGGGAUAAACCUACCCUCGUGAGGGUAGCUGAAGGUACUAUACGAAUAAGCACCGGCUAACUCCGUG